GAUGAACGCCGGCGGUGUGCCUAAUACAUGCAAGUCGAACGCGUUGGCCCAAUUGAUUGACGGUGCUUGCACCUGAUUGAUUUUGGUUGCCAACGAGUGGCGGACGGGUGAGUAACACGUAGGUAACCUGCCCAGAAGCGGGGGACAACAUUUGGAAACAGAUGCUAAUACCGCAUAACAGCGUUGUUCGCAUGAACAACGCUUAAAAGAUGGCUUCUCGCUAUCACUUCUGGAUGGACCUGCGGUGCAUUAGCUUGUUGGUGGGGUAACGGCCUACCAAGGCGAUGAUGCAUAGCCGAGUUGAGAGACUGAUCGGCCACAAUGGGACUGAGACACGGCCCAUACUCCUACGGGAGGCAGCAGUAGGGAAUCUUCCACAAUGGGCGCAAGCCUGAUGGAGCAACACCGCGUGAGUGAAGAAGGUUUUCGGAUCGUAAAGCUCUGUUGUUGGUGAAGAAGGAUAGAGGUAGUAACUGGCCUUUAUUUGACGGUAAUCAACCAGAAAGUCACGGCUAACUACGUGCCAGCAGCCGCGGUAAUACGUAGGUGGCAAGCGUUGUCCGGAUUUAUUGGGCGUAAAGCGAGCGCAGGCGGAAGAAUAAGUCUGAUGUGAAAGCCCUCGGCUUAACCGAGGAACUGCAUCGGAAACUGUUUUUCUUGAGUGCAGAAGAGGAGAGUGGAACUCCAUGUGUAGCGGUGGAAUGCGUAGAUAUAUGGAAGAACACCAGUGGCGAAAGCGGCUCUCUGGUCUGCAACUGACGCUGAGGCUCGAAAGCAUGGGUAGCGAACAGG
rnacentral:rRNA from 1 species